AGAGUUUGAUCCUGGCUCAGAUUGAACGCUGGCGGCAUGCCUUACACAUGCAAGUCGAACGGCAGCACGGGAGCAAUCCUGGUGGCGAGUGGCGAACGGGUGAGUAAUACAUCGGAACGUGUCCUGGAGUGGGGGAUAGCCCGGCGAAAGCCGGAUUAAUACCGCAUACGCUCUGAGGAGGAAAGCGGGGGAUCUUCGGACCUCGCGCUCAAGGGGCGGCCGAUGGCAGAUUAGCUAGUUGGUGGGGUAAAGGCCUACCAAGGCGACGAUCUGUAGCUGGUCUGAGAGGACGACCAGCCACACUGGGACUGAGACACGGCCCAGACUCCUACGGGAGGCAGCAGUGGGGAAUUUUGGACAAUGGGCGCAAGCCUGAUCCAGCAAUGCCGCGUGUGUGAAGAAGGCCUUCGGGUUGUAAAGCACUUUUGUCCGGAAAGAAAACUUCUGCCCUAAUACGGCGGGAGGAUGACGGUACCGGAAGAAUAAGCACCGGCUAACUACGUGCCAGCAGCCGCGGUAAUACGUAGGGUGCAAGCGUUAAUCGGAAUUACUGGGCGUAAAGCGUGCGCAGGCGGUUCGCUAAGACAGAUGUGAAAUCCCCGGGCUUAACCUGGGAACUGCAUUUGUGACUGGCGGGCUAGAGUAUGGCAGAGGGGGGUAGAAUUCCACGUGUAGCAGUGAAAUGCGUAGAGAUGUGGAGGAAUACCGAUGGCGAAGGCAGCCCCCUGGGCCAAUACUGACGCUCAUGCACGAAAGCGUGGGGAGCAAACAGGAUUAGAUACCCUGGUAGUCCACGCCCUAAACGAUGUCAACUGGUUGUCGGGCCUUCAUUGGCUUGGUAACGUAGCUAACGCGUGAAGUUGACCGCCUGGGGAGUACGGUCGCAAGAUUAAAACUCAAAGGAAUUGACGGGGACCCGCACAAGCGGUGGAUGAUGUGGAUUAAUUCGAUGCAACGCGAAAAACCCUUACCUACCU
rnacentral:rRNA from 1 species